rnacentral:rRNA from 1 species
UACGUAGGGGGCUAGCGUUGUCCGGAAUCAUUGGGCGUAAAGCGCGCGUAGGCGGCCCGGUAAGUCCGCUGUAAAAGUCAAAGGCUCAACCUUUGAAUGUCAGCGGAUACUGCCGGGCUAGAGUCCGGAAGAGGCGAGUGGAACUCCUGGUGUAGCGGUGGAAUGCGCAGAUAUCAGGAAGAACACCAAUGGCGAAGGCAGCUCGCUGGAACGGUACUGACGCUGAGGCGCGAAAGCGUGGGGAGCGAACAGG